UCUAGUUUGAUCUGGUCUACAUGCUAACAUGCUAGCGUGCUAGCAUCAGCUGUGUUCGCUUCCUGAUUUUAUUUGUUGUUUUAUGUUUAUUUGUAGACUCCUCAUUGCAUCAUGUCUGCUCUGAACUAGGGUUAAUUUAGAUUCAUUAAUUACAGAAAAUAUAACACGUUAAAAAUAACACAUCCCACCUUUCUCAGUUCCUGAUUUCUGUCUCACUGGUAACUCUGAUGAACCCAGUAGGUGGCGCUAAUGAAGCUAAAGGUGAAGAAGAUCCACUGAGUGAUGUCAGAAAGUUGAAGGAAGAUGAGAAGCAUUGAUCUUGUUGGAGGAAAAGCCUGGUUGUUUCCUGAUCAGCUCAAUGUAAAACAUGUUGCUGUUAACACCAGAGCUAACGUUAGCUACCACAGUCCUGGUAACGGCUAACAGUCGAGCCAUCCCAGAAUAGACCACUCUAGAUGACACAGAAAGUGUCUGAGUUUACAUUAAGUGUAUGAUUGUUGAAUCUAAUCGCUGUAAUGUCACUUAGAGUUAGCAGUAAUCUGAUGAAAAAUGCAGAUAAAUAGAAAAGAAAAACAUUUUUAUUAAGUUCAUGUAUAUUAAUAUUCAUCAUUCAGUCUCAUCCAACAUUUAUUAGAGUUAAAAAGCUUUACUUAAUGUGUCAGAUAUUGAUGUCUGACAAAAAAGGGAUGAAUUAAUUUCAAAGGCUCCAAUUAAUAAAAUGAAAAUGUUUCAUUGCGUCCCACUGCUCUAAAAUUGCAAGACUCCAGUAAAUGUCCUCAGGUACUGUCCAUCACUGAGCUUCUGCUGCCCCCUGCUGCUCAGUCACUGAUCUACAGUCUGACAAUGUUCUCUGUUGGUUUUGUUUCCUGUUUGUGUUUAAUAUUUAUCCUGCUCAGAUAAGAUAAGAUAAGGUAAGAUAAGGUAAGAUAAGAUAGACUUUAUUGAUCUCACAAAGGAGUUUCAGCUUCAUCCUGGAGUCAAUAAGAACAGUUGAUGUGAUUAUUAGUCACUACAGCUGCAGGCGACUAAAUCAGAGGAGAACAGUUAGUUUAUUGGAUAUAAAACCAAAGAAAAACAUCAAGAUUUAAUUCAGAAUCCAUCCACAAUGUAAACUUUUUACUAAAAGCAGGUUUCAGAAUUAUCCUCCCCCUAUGACGCUGUAUCUUCAGGUCCUAUGACGCUGUAUCUUCAGGUCCUAUGAGGUUGUAUCUUCAGCUCCUAUGAGGCUGUAUCUUCAGCUCCUAUGAGGUUGUAUCUUCAGGUCCUAUGAGGCUGUAUCUUCAGGUCCUAUGAGGUUGUAUCUUCAGCUCCUAUGAGGCCGUAUCUUCAGGUCCUAUGACGCUGUAUCUUCAGGUCCUAUAAUUCAGUAUCUUCAGAUCUAUCAGGCCGUAUCUUCAGGUCCUAUGAGGUUGUAUCUUCUGCAGCCUUUAGCUCCAAUGACCUGCUGUAGAUGGAGGUAUCGUCUCUAACAAGCGUCAGGCAGCUCCUUGGGAAUUUUACUCCAUUCCUCGUGGGUGAUGGUCUCCAUCUCAGCGAUGUUCUCAGGUCUACGUGCUGCAGCAGCUUUCUUUAGAUCCACCACAGGUUCUUCAUUGGGUUUCAGUCUGGAGGUAGUGAUGUCCACUCUAGAUCCUUCCAUGCUUUCUUCUCUAACCAGUCUUUGUUGGUUCUGAUGUGUGUUUGGGGUCGUUGUCUUCCUGGAACGUCCAAUUACGCCCAAGCUUCAACUUCUUCAGGGACUGAGGGACGUUCUUGUCCAGAACAUCCUGGUACUUCCUGAAUCCAUGGUGCCUUCAACACGUUGGAGAUUCCUGGUUCCAUCAGAAGCAGAACACCCCCACAGCAUCCCAGAUCCACCACCAUGCUUCACAGCAGGCAGGGUGGUCUUCUCCUCGUAGGCCUCGUUCUUCCUCCCAGACGUUCCUCUGAUCCAUAGGACCAAAGAGCUCUAGUUUGGUCUCAUCAUCCAUAGAACCGUCUCCCAGAACUUCUGUGGCUUUGAUAGGUUGGUUCUAGCAGACUGGAGGCCAUUGUUCUUGUGGUGUGUCUUCAGAAGCGCUGUCCGUCUAGAGCAGGGGUCGGCAACCUUUAACACUCAAAGAGCCAUUUCAACCCGUUUCCCACAGAAAAGAAAACACCGGGAGCCGCAAAAUCCUUUUGGCAUUUAAAAUGAAGACAACACUGCAUAUAUCGCUUUUUUACCUCUAUGCCCUUGUUAAUCAGCCUCUAAUUAGAUGGAUUCAUUUUUUUAAUUGUGUCCUACCACUAAUAUUUAUCUUACUUGGUUAAUGUCAUUUUUGCUCCUGGACCUCAUAUGUUACAUAAUGUUAGCUGGAAAUCAAUAUUUUGCGAAUGUCUAUUUAACUUGUAAAAUCUAUUUAUCUAUUUAUCUUAAGCUUAUAACUUUUCUCCGGUAAGUCGCUGCCCUAUUUUUCCAAGACGACACUCCUCUGACUCUCUGACCUGCUGCCUGGACAUCGACCGUGUUCUUGCAGUAACGUGUAUUACCCUAUCAUGAGUACUUUUGACUCAGACGUGUCUUUCUUGGAGUGGAGCUUUAAUAUACAGGCUUGCCAUUCUUGAGUACAAAACGAUGUGAAACUACAGGCGUUGCUUCUCCAGGAGUAAAACAAAAAAAAAGGCAUGAAACGUGGGAAUCGGAAGCUCCGUGUUGUCUCUCUGCAUCAACUUUGCGCUCUCAUGUCACAGGCACAGCACAUCCGGUGGAGUGACACGUCAAAGUAAGAGCGGUAAUUUCACAAUAAAACUCUCUAUAUUAAAAUGCAUUGAAACGCGCCUGAAAGGCAGAACAAUUUAUUUUCCAAAGUUACAGGGAUCUCCACAGAAACAUCAGUUCCUCUUCCAGCCAGAUCUUACUGCAGGUCCUUGGCAGUAAGCCGAGGGUUCUGGUCCAUCCGUCUCCAGGAAUCUUGAUGUCUCCGACAGCUUCUUUUUUUCCAUCACGACCCUGUAGUGUAGCCACAGUACUGGUGGAUUUGAACAUACCAAUGAUGCUUCCAACAGUGUCUCUGGGAGCAUUCUAGAGCUUGGAGAUCUUCUUGGACCCAUUUCCUUUCUGGUGCAGAGCAACUAUCUCCUCUGUAAACUUCAGGACAUCUCUCUGGUCUGAACCAUGGUGCUGCUAGAGGACAAAGUGUCCCCAUUUUAUAGAUGUCAGUAUUCCUCAGUGUUCAGCAUGUGUCCCCAUUGGAUUCUCCUCCAGAUGUAGACAUCCAGGUGGAUGGAUUAGAUUUGGGCUGCAGGUAUCUGGAUUCACCAGCAUUGGUUAUAGGAGGACCAUCAUUCUGAAAUCUGCUGGAUGUUCAAUGCAUGUGUGUGUUACUAUGUGCUACUGUGUUACUGUGUUGUGUGUC